rnacentral:rRNA from 1 species
AUCGAACGCUGGCGGCAGGCCUAACACAUGCAAGUCGAGCGGAGCGGCGGACGGGUGAGUAAUGCCUAGGAAUCUGCCUGGUCGUGGGGGAUAACGUCCGGAAACGGGCGCUAAUAUCGCAUACUCUCAGAUGAGCCUAGGUCGGAUUAGCUAGUUGGUGGGGUAAAGGCCUACCAAGGCGACGAUCCGUAACUGGUCUGAGAGGAGGAGCAGUCAAACUGGAACGGAGACACGGUCCAGACUGCGGCGGGUGGCAGCAGUGGGGAAUAUUGGACAAUGGGGGAAAGCCUGAUCCAGCCAGGCGGCGUGUGUGAGGAAGGUCUUCGGAUUGUAAAGCACUUUAAGUUGGGAGGCGGUACCAACAGAGUAAGCACCGGCUAACUUCGUGCCAGCAGCCGCGGUAAUAC